GAUAAACGCUGGCGGCGCACAUAAGACAUGCAAGUCGAACGGACUUAACUCAUUCUUUUAGAUUGAGAGCGGUUAGUGGCGGACUGGUGAGUAACACGUAAGCAACCUGCCUAUUAGAGGGGAAUAACAAUGAGAAAUCAUUGCUAAUACCGCAUAAGCUUGUAGUAUCGCAUGAUACAGCAAGAAAAGGAGCAAUCCGCUAAUAGAUGAGCUUGCGGCUGAUUAGCUGGUUGGCGGGGUAACGGCCCACCAAGGCGACGAUCAGUAGCCGGACUGAGAGGUUGACCGGCCACAUUGGGACUGAGACACGGCCCAG
rnacentral:rRNA from 1 species